GGGUAACUUCGGGAAACCGGAGCUAAUACCGGAUAAUAUUUUGAACCGCAUGGUUCAAAAGUGAAAGACGGUCUUGCUGUCACUUAUAGAUGGAUCCGCGCUGCAUUAGCUAGUUGGUAAGGUAACGGCUUACCAAGGCAACGAUGCAUAGCCGACCUGAGAGGGUGAUCGGCCACACUGGAACUGAGACACGGUCCAGACUCCUACGGGAGGCAGCAGUAGGGAAUCUUCCGCAAUGGGCGAAAGCCUGACGGAGCAACGCCGCGUGAGUGAUGAAGGUCUUCGGAUCGUAAAACUCUGUUAUUAGGGAAGAACAUAUGUGUAAGUAACUGUGCACAUCUUGACGGUACCUAAUCAGAAAGCCACGGCUAACUACGUGCCAGCAGCCGCGGUAAUACGUAGGUGGCAAGCGUUAUCCGGAAUUAUUGGGCGUAAAGCGCGCGUAGGCGGUUUUUUAAGUCUGAUGUGAAAGCCCACGGCUCAACCGUGGAGGGUCAUUGGAAACUGGAAAACUUGAGUGCAGAAGAGGAAAGUGGAAUUCCAUGUGUAGCGGUGAAAUGCGCAGAGAUAUGGAGGAACACCAGUGGCGAAGGCGACUUUCUGGUCUGUAACUGACGCUGAUGUGCGAAAGCGUGGGGAUCAAACAGGAUUAAUACCCUGGUAGUCCCACGCCGUAAACGAUGAGUGCUAAGUGUUAGGGGGUUUCCGCCCCUUUAUUGCUGCAGCUAACGCAUUAAUCACUCCGCCUGGGGAGUACCACCGCAAGGUUUGAAACUCAAAGGAAUUUGACGGGGACCCGCACAAGCGGUGGGAUCUUGUGGUUUUAAUAUUCGAAGCAACGCCGAGAACCUUACCCAGAUCCUUGGCCAUCCUUUUGACAACUCUAGAG
rnacentral:rRNA from 1 species